AUCCAGGGAUCUUCUAGAUGGAAGUGCAUUCCUGGAAUUACCAGAUGCAGAAUACAAAAGUUUAAUACACAGAACACUUCAGGACAUCAGGAAGGAAAUGAGGUAAUACACAGAAUGAGCCAAGGAACACACAGGUAAAGCAACUGAAGAAAUUAGAAAGAUUAUUCAGGAACAUUACGAAAAGUUUUGUAAGCUGGAAAAAUCCAUAGACACACAACAAUAAGGAAUUCAGAAGAUUAACAAUAAAAUUACAGAUUUAGACAACUCCAUGGAAAGUCAGAGGAGCAGAAUUGAGCAAGUAGAAGCUAAAGUUUCUGAACUCGAAGUUAAAUCACUUGGCACUAAUAUAUUUGAAGAAAAAUCAGAUAAAAGAAUUGAGAAAAAUGAAGAAACCUUAAGAAUCAUGUAUGUGGGACUCUAUCAAGAGAAAUAAGCUACGAGUGAUUGGAGUACCAAAACAGGGAGGGAUAACAGAAAAUAUAGAGAAAAUUGCUGAAGAUUUGUUGGCAGAAAACUUUCCAAAUGUUGUGAAAGAUGACAGGAUAUCUAUCCAAGAUGCUCAUCGAACUCCACAUAAGGUGGAUGUUAAAAGAAAGUCACCAAGCCAUAUUAUAAUCAAAAUUGCCAAAACCAAAGAUGAAGAGAGAACUAUAAGAGCAGUGAGGGAUAAACAAAAAGUCACCUACAAAGACAGCCAAUAAGAAUAACCUCGGACUACUCGGCAGAAACCAUGCAGGCAAGAAGGCAAUGGGAUGACAAAUUUAAAAAAUGGAAGGAAAAAAAUUGCCUGCAAACAAUCAUAUAUCCAGCAAAACUGUCUCUUAAAUAUGAAGGUAAAAUAAAGACAUUUCCAAAUAAACACAAGUUUAGGGGAUUCCUAAAAACCAAACCAAAACUACACGAAACACUAAAGGGAGUUCUUUGGUUAGAAAAUCAAUAAUAUCAGGUAUCAACCCAAGACUAGAGCACUGGGCAGAGCACCCAGAAGUCAACUCAGACAGGGAAAUCCCCCCCCCCAAAAACAAAGCAAGACUAUUUUAAAAAAGCCUAAAACAGGGCAACAGCAAUGUUAUUAUAUAAAAGAAGACAGCAUUAAAAUAAUAAAGAGGGAUUAAGAAAUGUAAUCAUACACCUUCCAUACGAAGAGGAAGGUACAACAAUGCAAAGAAGUAAAAGUUAGUCUUAAAUUUAGAAAAAUAGGGGUAAAUAAUACGGUAGCCACAAAGGAGACAAACUGUCCUACUCAUCAAAAUAAAAUACAAGGGAAAAAUACAGACUCAGCAGAAACAAUAUCAACAACAACAAAUAUGAGGAAAGGACAAUAUAGAAAGAUAAUCUACUCAGCAUAUAAAAUCAAGUGGGAAAAGAAACUAUGAACAACACACAAAAAAAGACAUCAAAAUGAUAGUACUAAAUUCAUAAAUAAAAAAAAAACCUACCCAUAAUUACCCUGCAUGUAAAUGGACUAAAUGCACCAAUACAGAGAGAGACAGUGGCAGGAUGGAUUGAAAAACAAGAUCCGUCUCUAUGCUGCCUACAAGAGACACACCUUAGAAUUAGAGACACACUUAACAUCUACUCAAUGGUAGAAAACUGAAUUAUUUCUGGCAGGAGAGACUCUGAAACCUGCUCUUGAACAUACAGUAGCUACAACAAAAGGAAGAAAUGAUGAAAUAAAGAACUUUGAGACGACAAAGUAUUAUAAGGAAACUUGCAAAGACGAAGAGUUAGAAAAGCGCAAUAGAAGAACACGUUCGGCAUUUCUCAAGGUGAAAGAACUGAAGAUAAAAUCAAGUCUCAAGUUCCAAUAUUGAAGGAUUCUAUGGGAAAAAUAUUAAACAAUGCAGGAAGCAUCGAAAGAAGAUGGAUGGCAUACAGAGUCACUGUUUCAAAAAGAAACAGCCAAUAUCCAAACGUUUCAGGAGGUAGCUAGGCUCAAGAACCUAUGGUACUGAAGGAAGAAGUCCAAGCUGCACUGAAGGCACCGGUGAAAAACAAGGCUCCAGGAACUGACAGAGUACCAGCUGAGAUGUGUCAAUGAACGGAUGCAGCACGGGAAGAGCUCGCUGGUCUAUGCCAAGGAAUUUGGAAGACAGCUGCCUGGCCAACCAACUGGAAGAGAUCCACACUUGUGCCCAUUCCAAAGAAAGGCGAUCCAACAGAAUGUAGAAAUUGUCCAAAAUAUCAUGAAUAUCACACACAGGUAAAAUUUUGCUGAAGAUCAUUCAAAAGCAGUUGCAGCAGUAUAGUGACAGGGAAUUGCCAGAAAUUCAAGCCCAGUUCUGAAGAGUGCGUGGAACGAGGGAUAUCGUUGCUGAUGAUAUCAGAUGGAUCUCGGCUGAAAGCAGAGAAUGCCAAAAAGUCUUUUACCUGUGUUUUAUUGACUAUGCAAAGGCAUUUGACUGUGUGGUUCAUAACAAAUUAUGCACAAUCUUGUGAAGAAUGGGAAUUCCAGAACACUUAAUUGUGCUCAUGAGGAACCUGUGCUCAGACCAAGACGCAGUCAUUAGCACAGAACCAGGGGAUACUAUGAGGUUUUAAGUUGAGAAAGGUGUAUGUUAAGGUUGCAUCCUUUCACCGUAUUUAUUCAAUCUGUAUGGAGGAAAUAAUUCAAGAAGAUAAACUAUAAGAAGAAGAAAGCGGGUAUCAGGAUUGGAAGAAGACUCAUUAACAACCUGCAAUAGGCAGAGGACACAACUUCUCUUGCUGAAAGUGAAGAGGACGUGAAGCAGUCACUGAAGAAAAUCAAUGACCACAGCCUUCACUAUGAAUUACGCCACAACACAAAGAAAACAAAAAAUCCUCACAUAUGGAUUAAUAAGCAACAUCGUGGUCGAUGGAGAGAAGAUUGAAGUUGUCAAGGAUGUCUUUAUACUUGGACCCACAAUCAACGCCCAUGGAAGUAGCAGCGAAGAAAUCAAUGACAUAUUGCAUUGGGCAAAUGUACUGCGAAAGCCAUCUUUAAAGUGUUAAAAACCAAAAAUGUCACUUUAAGGACUAAGGUGCGCCUGACCCAGGCCAUGGUAUUUUCAAUCGCCUCAUAUGCAUGCAAAACCUGGAAAAUGAAUGAGGAAGACUGGAGAGGAAUUGAUGCCUUCGAAUUAAGGUCUUGGCCAAGAAUAUUGAAUAUACCAUGGACUGCCACAAGAACGAACAAAUCUGUCUUGGAAGAAGUACAGCCAGAAUGCUCCUUAGAAGCAAGGAUGGUGAGAAUUUCUUACGCACUUUGGACAUGUUAUCAGGAGGCACUGGUCCCUUGAGAAGGACAUCUUGCGUGGUAAAGUAAAGGGUUGGUGAAAAGAGAGAGACCUUUAAGAAGAUGGGUUGACACGGUGAGUGCAAUACUAGUCUCAAAGAUAGCAGCCUUUGUGAGGAUGGCGCAGGAUCGGCAGUGUUUCCAUCUAUACAAAGGGGCGCCAUGAGUCAGAAUCCACUGGAUAGCACAUAACAACAAAAACACAAGUAGAUGAGUUGAACUGGGGGAAUCAUCACCCUGCGUCCUUCAAGUCUUUGAUGGUGGCAGUUAUCUCUAUAAUUCCUCCAGGAAUGCGGUACUGCUUUUGGUUUACUAUUUUCCUAGAUAGGCAGUUCUAAUGGCUUCCCCUUGGCUUUUCCUACCAUAAUAGCCCUUACUCCACUUGUCUGGAAUCCACAAAGGUAGUUCUGCAAGUUGUUGGGUAUUCCAAUUCCAAUUGUGUGUUUAGGAACUGGGGAAAUCACUACGUGAUGGAUUCAGGGACCCACUGAAUCCACUGUGAAAUGAACCAGAGCUACGGCUCCAUUAAGAACCUGACUUCCAUACAACCGCUUUCUGACUGGUGGGCCACAGUGACAUCUAGGGUCUCCUGGAUUCAGUGUCAGUUCAGAGGCAGUAUCCAGUAAUUCUUACACUUGUACCGAUCAAGAAACUACUCGAUAGACUUCCCAUCUAUUUCACUCCUAGGGACACCAUGACUAAGUAGCCAAUGCCAUGAGUCCAUAGGAGUCAGGCUACUCUCAUUACUGCUUUGACUCCACUGUCCAUUAUGUGAACCACACCUACCUUGUUCUUGUCCAUUGAGUCACCCACAUGGCCCCUAACACCAUGGGGUCCAAUCAGCCCCAUUGUAGUUUGGUGUCUUAAUUCAGUUAGGGCAUCUCCCAUUGUGAGAUCUGACUUCCAUAAAAGAACAAUCACAGCAGUCUUCAAGGAUGCUGGGGCUCCCUUCACAAAUUUAUUCCUCACCAUUGCGGUAAAAGGUGUGUCCUUUGGGCAUUCCAUGUGUGGGUCUGUGGGUCUAAGCCGAGAAAUCCACUCUAACAUGCCAGUUUCCCUAAGCCUUUGGAUACCUUCUUCUACUGUGAAAUCAAGGCGGGUCUGGCACUUCAGCUGGGUUUAGUGUGGGCCACCGCUUAAUCUGUGCUUCACUGAAUCAGUCACAUAAACUAUUAAAUCCUUUCCUAAGCUCUCUAGCUGAAACACUGGAUGAAGGAUCUGUGCUUAGUGGACCCAUAUCAAUGAACUCAGGCUGAUGCAACUUUAUGUUCCUUGCGCCAUUAUCCCACACCCAUAAUAGCAAUUCCCACACGUAGUCCCCAGGCUUUUGUUUGUAUGUAUUAGAAAAGUCAAGCAGUUCUUUUUCUUUUGGACUGUAGUGUACCUCCCCCUGGAUCACAUUUUGUGCUUUACCUUUGAGGAUAGCAGGGACUUCAGUCUAGUUAUAGGCCUAGAAGCAACAAUGGGUGUUGGGAAUGUGUCUGGAGAACAUUCAGCAAUGUCUUGUAAGACAUCUGCCUUAAGGGAUGAUGCCCCAGGCAGUGACUCAGACAUCACCCUAGUGGACGACUGAGACAAAGGCUCUUCAGACACAACUGGGUUAAUCUCAGCAGAUGGGGGUCUGAGGGGCUAAUAGUUUUCCUGGGGAGGGUGGUUUAGCAGCCAAACAUGGAGUAAUCCCUUCAGGUGGGAGCUGCUAUUUGGUGAUGGCCUUGCUAUUCCUCAAUGAAACUCAUUUUCUUUCACUCCUAAUAGAGUGUGGGAUUUUGUUCUUCAACAAUACAAACAAACAGAAAACAUGACCAGAGCCUUUGCAGCAGCAAAUUAGCUAGGAGAAGAUUAUAAUGUAAUGCUUUCAAGUUCUGAUUUAAAGUAGAAUUCUAACCCAGGCAAAAUGUGAGGGCAAUCAAGGCAUUUCCAGACAAGUAAGUAAGAACUUAAACAUCUACUUGCAAGGCAUGCACCUUGAGGAAACUGUUGGAGAAAGGAAAUCGGCACAAAGGACUGAUGAGAAAAAAAAAAAAAAAGACUGUUUAGGCAUAGAAAAUAAAAACAGGCAUCUGAUCUGUCUGUAAAGAGACUAAAGUAACUCUAAGCGCUCAAUGUAGUCUUUCACCUUAGGUUUGGCGUUGGCUGUCUAGCAGCUCCAGGUAAGCUUUCCCCCAGGUUCUACCUUCCUUCCCUAGGAACCAACCCAUCACCAUGAAGGAAAUGAGUUGCUUUGCGGAUCAGGCUAAAGAAUGUGAAGACUUAAGGCAAACUUUUGGUAUCAGCCUCCUCAGGUUUCUGACAUGCCCAGCAAAGUGAGAGAUCAUGGAAACUCCUUGUUUCCAUUCUCAUCUGGAGAGCUAACAUUCUGAGCAACGUGAUUGUUAACCAACCAGUCUUGAGAAUAUCCGUCCUGUGGCUGCUUUGUAAUCAACGUGAAACCCCCUUGACCUCCUGUCUUUCAAUUGUGUCUUGUAGCCAGUCAAUCGACUCACGUAAGCAAUAAUGACAACGAUUGUGCUUUACUUGUCGCGCCUUUGAUUGACCUUCGUCACUGUGAACCAACAAGAAAAACUGUAAUUUUAUUUUCCCCCUUCAGCACUCUGAUUACUCCUGAUUUGCCUUCUUCCCCUGAGAUUCCGGAACGUCAGCCUGAGACUUUGCGAUCUCCCACUGCCACGUCUCCGCUGCAAUAAAUCUCUUUCGAUUUUACCUUAAGGGAGCUGGAAAGUCAUUUCUCUCCAACAUUUUGGCGUAGUUAAUCGGCAGGGUUUUUGAAGUUACCCUUCCCCCGGAGACCCGAAGACCUGAAACACGGGACUCUGGCACCCAGGGCCCCUUUGUGUGCCCCUCCCUGCAGCUUUUUCGGACCCUUCUGGCUGUCUGGGGGGAGAAGGGAGCAGAGAGACUGGAGGACUUCAUUACCACCAAGCAGAAGAGCCAGGAGCAUUUGCUUUGAACCAGGGGCCCCUGCACUGAGAAGCUGCUAGAUCUGGGGAAGACUGAUGACAAGGACCUUCUCCCAGAGCCAACAGAGAGAGAAAGACUUUCCUAGGAGCUGACGCCCUGAAUUCAGACUUCUAGUCUCCUAGACUGUGAGAGAAUAAAUUACUCUUUGUAAAAGCCA